GUCUACAGCCCUACCCCAUUGAAUGCUCCUCAUCUCGUGAAGCUAAGCAGGGUCAGGCCUGGCUGGAACUUGGAUGAGAGAGAGCCUGGAAACACUGGGUGCUGUAGGAU
rnacentral:rRNA from 1 species